rnacentral:rRNA from 1 species
CUGGGCUCAGGAUGAAACGCUGGGCGGCCGUGCUUAAACAACAUGCAAAGUCGAAACGAUGAAAGCCCUUUUCGGGGGGUUGGAUUUAGUGGGCGAAACGGGGUGAAGUAAACACGUGAGCAAACCCUGCCCCUUGACUUUUGGGAUAAGCCUGGGAAACUGGGUCUUAAUACCCGGAUAGGACUCCUCAUCGCAUGGUGGGGGGUGGAAAGCCUUGUGCGGUCUUGGAUGGGCUCGCGGCCUAUCAGCUUUGUUGGUGGGGUGAUGGCCUACCAAGGCGACGACGGGUAGCCGGCCUGAGAGGGUGACCGGCCACACUGGGACUGAGACACGGCCCAGACUCCUACGGGAGGCAGCAGUGGGGAAUAUUGCACAAUGGGCGGAAGCCUGAUGCAGCGACGCCGCGUGGGGGAUGACGGCCUUCGGGUUGUAAACCCCUUUCAGCAGGGAAGAAGGGUGACUGACGGUACCUGCAGAAGAAGCGCCGGCUAACUACGUGCCAGCAGCCGCGGUAAUACGUAGGGCGCGAGCGUUAUCCGGAAUUAUUGGGCGUAAAGAGCUCGUAGGCGGCUUGUCGCGUCUGCUGUGAAAGCCCGGGGCUCAACCCCGGGUCUGCAGUGGGUACGGGCAGGCUGGAGUGCAGUAGGGGAGACUGGAAUUCCUGGUGUAGCGGUGAAAUGCGCAGAUAUCAGGAGGAACACCGAUGGCGAAGGCAGGUCUCUGGGCUGUAACUGACGCUGAGGAGCGAAAGCAUGGGGAGCGAACAGGAUUAGAUACCCUGGUAGUCCAUGCCGUAAACGUUGGGCACUAGGUGUGGGGGCCAUUCCACGGUUUCCGCGCCGCAGCUAACGCAUUAAGUGCCCCGCCUGGGGAGUACGGCCGCAAGGCUAAAACUCAAAGGAAUUGACGGGGGCCCGCACAAGCGGCGGAGCAUGCGGAUUAAUUCGAUGCAACGCGAAGAACCUUACCAAGGCUUGACAUGUGCCGGACCGUCCCAGAGAUGGGGCUUCCCUUCGGGGCCGGUUCACAGGUGGUGCAUGGUUGUCGUCAGCUCGUGUCGUGAGAUGUUGGGUUAAGUCUCCGCAACGAGCGCAACUCCUCGUUCCAUGUUGCCAGCACGUAGUGGUGGGGACUCAUGGGAGACUGCUCGGGGUCAACUCGGAGGAAGGUGGGGACGACGUCAAAUCAUCAUGCUCUCCUUAUGUCUUGGGCUUCACGCAUGCUACAAUGGCCGGUACAAAGGGUUGCGAUACUGUGAGGUGGAGCUAAUCUCAGAAAGCCGGUUCUCAGUUCGGAUUGGGGUCUGCAACUCGACCUCAUGAAGUCGGAGUCGCUAGUAAUCG